rnacentral:rRNA from 1 species
CACGUAGGCACCAAGCGUUGUCCGGAUUUAUUGUGCGUAAAGAGCUCGUAGGCGGUUCAGUAAGUCGGGUGUGAAAACUCUGGGCUUAACCCAGAGCCGCCACCCGAUACUGCUGUGACUAGAGUCCGGUAGGGGAGUGGGGAAUUCCUAGUGUAGCGGUGAAAUGCGCAGAUAUUAGGAGGAACACCAGUGGCGAAGGCGCCACUCUGGGCCGGAACUGACGCUGAGGAGCGAAAGCGUGGGUAGCAAACAGG